rnacentral:sRNA from 1 species
GGGCAAAGGAAGAAGGAGACGGGCCACCCUACAGUCCAGGCACUAGCUGAGCCUCCAAAGACGUGGACACAGCAUUCGAGUGUUGGGAGGGACUGGUCAGUGCUGAAGUCUCACAGGUGAGUGCCCACGCCUGCUGUCACCAUGACAACCAUUCACAGCCGGCAGAUGCUGCAGGAGCACGUGUCCAUGGAGUUCUCCAGCUCCACCACCCACGUGCAGACCUUCUCCCAGACAACCAAGAUCGUGGGAGAGGAGGUCGUGAGGAGGAAGUCCUCGAGCAUAAUGGAGUUCUUCAGCUUAGUGACCCGGAGCUCAAACAUCCCUGCGGGCGACAGCGUCCCUGAGUUCGUGGAGAAGCCUCAACCGGUCACCGCGCCCGAGGGGGACAAAGCCGUGUUCCGAGCCCGGGUGCAGGGGAACCCCAAGCCCCACAUCUCCUGGAAGAGGGAGAGCGGCAUCCCCAUCAAGGAGUCCGCCAAGAUAUUCUACGACAGCAUUAACAAGGAACACGUGCUGAAGCUGGAGCCACUGACCUCGGAUGACUCUGACAACUACAAGUGUAUUGCAAGCAAUGACCAUGCAGAUGCCAUCUAUACUGUAUCUCUGCUGGUAACAGAAGGUCAAGAGAAAAUGGACUUCAAAAAGAUGCUGAAGAAGAGGGCACCCCCUGCUCCCAAGAAGAAGCAGAAGAAGGUGGCAAAUGAGAAAGAGAUGCUGGAGAUUUUGUCCAAAGUGCCCAAGAAAGACUUUGAGAAGGUCUGCAUGGAGUAUGGUUUCACUGACUUUCGGGGGCUGCUCAGGAAGCUCAAAGAGAUGAAGAAGAAAGUAGAGGUAGAGGCCAUCCGGAUUCUGAAGCCCCUGGAAGACAAAGAGACCAAGGUUGACACCACAGUGGUCUUUGACUGCAUAAUGGAACUGAAAGACCCCAAUGUCAAGAUGAUAUGGAUCAAGGGUACUGAGCCACUGAGGAUCCAGUACUCCCUGGGCAAGUACGAUGUGAAGCAGAUGGGCACCAAGUACAUGCUGGUUAUUAGCAACGUGAACAUGAACGAUGCUGGCAUCUACAGCCUGUCCGUGGGCGAUAAGCGGAUGAGUGCAGAGCUCACAGUGCUGGAUGAGCCACUGAAGUUCCUGGGAGAGAUGAAGCCUGUGAAAGUGACAGAGCGCCAGACAGCUGUGUUUGAGAUCUGCCUCUCCAAGAAAGAGCCCAACUUUGUGUGGAAGUUCAAUGGGAAGGAGCUGAAGAGGGAUGACAAGUAUGAAAUCACGGUGUCCGAAGAUGGUCUGACGCAUACUCUUAAGAUUAAGGAUGCCAGACUCAGUGACAGCGGCGAGUUCUCUGCUGAGGCGGGGAACCUGGUGCAAAAGGCCCAGCUCACUAUUGACCGCAUCCCCAUCAAGUUUGUGAGCAACCUCAAAAAUGUACGUGUGAAAGAGAGGAGUCGCACAUGCCUGGAGUGUGAGCUGACAUCCAAGGAUGUGACACUGCGCUGGAAGAAGGAUGGGCAGCUGCUGAUGCAUGGCACUAAGUACAGCAUGAACCAUGAGGGCAAGCGAGCAGAGCUGGUCAUUGAGGAUGCACAACUCAGUGAUGGUGGCGAGUACACUGUGGUGGCCAUGCAGGAUGGAGACCCUACUGAAUACUACAGUACUGCCAUCGUCACUGUGGAGGAGCGUCUGGCCACAGUGAAGAGUGGGAUGUCCGACGUGCACGCGGCCACUGGGAGCCCGGCUGAGUUGUGUGUAGUGCUGAAUGACGAGAAGGUGGAGGGUGUGUGGCUGAAGGAUGGCAAGGAGAUCACGGACUUGCCGGGCGUGCAGAUUGUGAAGCAGGGUGCAGUGCACAAGCUCAUCUUUCCCAGUAUGGGCCCUGAGCACGAGGGCAAGUACACAUUCCAGGCCAAGGGCGCGGAAAGUGAAGCCUCUGUAUUCAUCGCAGAUCCUCCUACCAUCGACCCGUCAGUACUGGAGGCACUGGCCGCGUACCCCAUCACCGUGAAGGUAGGCCACACAGCCCACAUCAAGGUCCCCUUCCGGGGAAAACCGCUGCCCAAAGUGACAUGGUACAAGGAUGGCAUGGAAGUGACGGAGGAGGAACGCGUGUCCAUGGAGCGCGGGGAAGACCAGGCGCUGCUCACCAUCUCCAACUGUGUGCGUGAAGACAGCGGCCUCAUCCUGCUCAAGCUCAAGAAUGACCACGGCUCAGCCACGGCCACUCUGCACCUUAGUGUGCUGGACCGUCCGAAGCCUCCACAGGGCCGGGUGGAGUUCCUGGAGCUCUCAGGUAGUUGUGUGCACAUGAAGUGGAAGGCCCCAAAGGACAAUGGUGGACGACCUGUGACACAGUUCAUAGUGGAACGGAGGGCAGUUGGCAAGAAGUCCUGGAUUAAGAUAGGCGAGGUGGACGGCAAAGUCACCAACUUCUCCACCAACAAGGUGGAAGAGGGAAAAGCCUACCAGUUCCGUAUCCUGGCAGUCAAUUCAGAAGGUGUGAGUGACCCACUGGAGAUGGAAGAAGUGUUUGCAGGAAAUCCCAUAGAGCCUCCUGGUUUUGCUUCCCAGCCUCAAGUGACUGAUGUGACUAAAGAGGCCAUGACCAUCACGUGGAAUGCCCCUACCCAGGAUGGGGGAGCCCCAGUGCUCGGCUACAUUGUAGAACGAAGGAAGAAAGGCAGUAACCUGUGGGUGCCAGUCAACAAGGACCCCAUCCAGGGUGAGGUCCUUGGAACAGAGGCCCAGGAGUGACCAAAGGAGGUCUUGCUGAGUGGACCCAUUAACUACUGACACAGUCCCUCCUCCAACUCUUCUGGAAGUUUUAACAACAUCCCAUGACCUCCUCUUCUAUGUCUGUCACUCUUGUUCUCACCCCAUGGAUGCCUCUGGCCUCACGACCCCUCAUCUUCCCAUUUCAGGCACCAAGUGCACUGUGGAUGGUCUCCUGGAGGACACAGAAUAUGAAUUCCGAGUUAUAUCUGUAAAUAAGGCAGGCCCUGGACAGCCCAGUGUGCCAUCCAGCUCAGUAGUGGCCAAGGAUCCUGUUAAACCCCCAGGCCUGGUCCAGGACCUGCAUGUAUCUGAUUCCUCCAACUCCAGCAUUUCCCUGGCCUGGCGGGAGCCUGCAGAGGGAGACCCACCCUCUGGCUACAUCCUUGAGAUGAGGGCUGAAGACACAAAGGAGUGGUCCAAGUGCACAAAGAUCCCCAUCUCAGGCACUUGCUACACAGUGGGAGGACUCACCGAGAGGCAGAAAUACUUCUUCCGAAUCCGGGCUGUGAAUGAGGCUGGGGUUGGGGAGCCUGUGGAGCUAGAUGAGGGGGUCCGUGCCAUGCCACCACCAGCUGCACCCAAGUUUGACCUCAGUGCCCGGCUGAAGAGUCACAUGGUGGUUCGCGCUGGGACAGCCCUCUGCAUCCACGCAGCCUUCUCCGGCUCACCACCACCUGACGUGAUCUGGCAGAAAGAUGGCGUUCCCACCAAGGGCCGAGAAACAAUUACCAAGAGCAAAAACCACUCCCAGUUCCUCAUUAAUAGCACCAAGCGCUCUGACUCAGGGGUGUACCGAAUCUUGCUUCAGAAUGAGUUUGGAGAAGCACACUAUGACAUCCAUGUGCGCGUGGCAGAUUUCCCUCGGCCCCCCACAAACCUACGGUUGUUUGAGGAAGUCCCCAACACAGUGACUCUGACCUGGAACCACAGCCCAGAUGUGCAGGAGGACGGUGAGGCUCACUACGUCAUCAUGAAGCGGGAUGCAAGCACCGCCACCUGGUACACGGCAGCCGAGCGUGUCUUCAGC